UACGGGGGGGGCAAGCGUUUGUUCGGAAUUACUGGGCGUAAAGGGCUCGUAGGCGGCCAACUAAGUCAGACGUGAAAUCCCUCGGCUUAACCGGGGAACUGCGUCUGAUACUGGAUGGCUUGAGGUUGGGAGAGGGAUGCGGAAUUCCAGGUGUAGCGGUGAAAUGCUAGAUAUCUGGAGGAACACCGGUGGCGAAGGCGGCAUCCUGGACCAAUUCUGACGCUGAGGGAGCGAAAAAGCCCAGGGGGGAGCAAAACGGGGAUUAGAAAACCCCC
rnacentral:rRNA from 1 species